rnacentral:rRNA from 1 species
UACGUAGGCAGCGAGCGUUGUUCGGAGUUACUGGGCGUAAAGGGCGCGUAGGCGGACAGUUAAGUCGGGGGUGAAAGCCCGGGGCUCAACCUCGGAAUUGCCUUCGAUACUGGCUGUCUUGAGUGUGAGAGAGGUGUGUGGAACUCCGAGUGUAGAGGUGAAAUUCGUAGAUAUUCGGAAGAACACCAGUGGCGAAGGCGACACACUGGCUCACUACUGACGCUGAGGCGCGAAAGCGUGGGGAGCAAACAGG